GCUGGAGAUAGCUCAGCAUGUAGAGCAUGAGACUCUUAAUCUCAGGGCCAUGGGUUCAAGUCCCAUGUUGAGCA
rnacentral:tRNA from 1 species